GGGGGGGUUCUUUUUUCCUUUCUAUAUGUCUGAAAAGAGAAAAUUAAAAAUCUGAUAGCAUAAAUACACAAAGAUAAGCACACCAACAAAUCACCUUCUAUUUGCAUCUGCCUCUCCUUUUUCCAAGUUUCUUCUUCAUCUGUCUCUCUUUCCUUAUUGACCUUAACAUUUUCAAUGUGUUCAGUUUUUUUCUUUUUUUAUAACAUAAUAUCAGUCUGUUGUCAUCGGCUGCGUAAUGCAACACCUGAAACGAGCCUUACGAACUGUCGUCAUGAUCUCAGUCUGCGCAUUCUCAAGCAUUCGGACCACCUCGGUAAAUGACGGCCUAACAUCAGGGUUGGCAUCCCAGCACCGGGUCAUGAUGUCGCUCAAUACAGGUAAGCAAUCAUUGGGAAUGAUAGGACGGACGCCUUUGUUUACGACUGCAAAGGCGGCCUGAACAGCUGUCAUAUUCUGGAAUGGAAGC
rnacentral:misc_RNA from 1 species